rnacentral:rRNA from 1 species
AUUGAACGCUGGCGGCAGGCCUAACACAUGCAAGUCGAACGGUAGCACAGAGAGCUUGCUCUCGGGUGACGAGUGGCGGACGGGUGAGUAACGUCUGGGAAACUGCCCGAUGGAGGGGGAUAACUACUGGAAACGGUAGCUAAUACCGCAUAACGUCGCAAGACCAAAGUGGGGGACCUUCGGGCCUCACACCAUCGGAUGUGCCCAGACGGGAUUAGCUAGUAGGUGGGGUAAUGGCUCACCUAGGCGAAGAUCCCUAGCUGGUCUGAGAGGAUGACCAGCCACACUGGAACUGAGACACGGUCCAGACUCCGACGGGAGGCAGCAGUGGGGAAUAUUGCACAAUGGGCGCAAGCCUGAUGCAGCCAUGCCGCGUGUAUGAAGAAGGCCUUCGGGUUGUAAAGUACUUUCAGCGGGGAGGAAGGCGGUGAAGUUAAUAGCUUCACCGAUUGACGUUACCCGCAGAAGAAGCACCGGCUAACUCCGUGCCAGCCGCCGCGGUAA